GAUGAAGAACGUAGUGAAAUGCGAUAAGUAAUGUGAAUUGCAGAAUUCCGUGAAUCAUCGAAUCUUUGAACGCACAUUGCGCCCUCUGGUAUUCCGGGGGGCAUGCCUGUCCGAGCGUCAUUUGCAACCCUCAAGCCCGGCUUGUGUGAUGGGUGCCGUCCCCUACGGGACGCGCCCCGAAGGCAAUGGCGGCGUCGCGGUUAUCCGAUCAGCCAAAGUGCAUGGGGCUUUGUCACUCACUUUACGGCCCGGACCGGCGCCAGUCCGAAUCAAUCUUUUUUCUAAAGUUGACCUCGGAUCAGGUAGGGAUACCCGCUGAACUUAAGCAUAUCAAUAAGCGGAGGA
rnacentral:misc_RNA from 1 species